UUCCAGAAGUCCGGAAUUCUACAAGAAUCAUGUGAUGUCAAAAAUAACUGAGAACAAUCUGAACAGGAGAGGAAGAUAGAAGUAACUAUGAAAGAUUACAGAGGUUAGAAAGAGCCACUGUACUUGAAAGAAAGCAAUCAUCUCUGAGAGCUCUUCAAUUACAACGAAAUUGUCAGCUAGAUAGAAGGAAUUAAUACUAGUGUUUGAUACCACCUUACGAUGACUAUAGGUUAGAAGAAAAGCAAAAGAAGGAA
rnacentral:lncRNA from 10 species